GGUGGGAUUGCUGGUUCAUAUGGUAACUUUAUGUUUUAACUUUUUGAGUAACUGCCAAAUUAUUUUCCAUAGCCACUGAGCCAUUUACAUUCCCAUUGGCAAC
rnacentral:pre_miRNA from 1 species